rnacentral:rRNA from 1 species
ACGCUUGGAUCACACAUGCAAGUUCGAACGGUAACAGGUCUUCGGAUUGCCUGACGAGUGGCGAACGGCGUGAGUAAUACAUCGGAAUCGUGCCUAGUAGUGGGGGAUAACUACUCGAAAGAGUGGGCUAAUACCGCAUGAGAUCUACGGAUGAAAGCAGGCCGGAUCGCAAGACCUUGUGCUACUAGAGCGGCCGAUGGCAGAUUAGGUAGUUGGUGGGAUAAAAGCUUACCAAGCCGACGAUCUGUAGCUGGUCUGAAAGGACGAUCAGCCACGACUGGGACUGAGACUACGGCCCAGACUCCUACGGGACGGCAGCAGUGGGUGAAUUUUGGACAAUGGAAGCGCAAGCCUGAUCUCAGCAAUGCCGCGUGCAGGAUGAAGGCCUUCGGGUUGUAAACUGCUAUUGUACGGAACGAAAGAGCCCUGGAUUAAUACCCUGGGGUCAUGACGGUACCGUAAGAAUAAGCACCGGCAUAACUACGUGCCAGCAGCCAUGGUAAUACGUAGGGUGCGAGCGUUAAUCGGAAUUACUGGGCGUAAAGCGUGCGCAGGCGGUUGCAUAAGACAGAGGUGAAAUCCCCGGGCUCAACCUGGGAACUGCCUUGGUGACUGCAAGGCUAGAGUACGGCAGAGGGGGAUGGAAUUCCGCGUGUAGCAGUGAAAUGCGUAGAUAUGCGGAGGAACACCGAUGGCGAAGCAAUCCCCUGGGCCUGUACUGACGCUCAUGCACGAAAGCGUGGGGAGCAAACAGAUUAGAUACCCUGGUAGUCCACGCCCUAAACGAUGUGCAACUGGUUGUUGGGUCUUAACUGACUCAGUAACGAAGCUAAUAUGUGAAGUUGACCGCCUGGGGAGUACGGCCGCAAGGUUGAAACUCAACGGAAUUGACGGGGACCCGCACAAGCGGUGGAUGAUGUGGUUUAAUUCGAUGCAACGCGAAAAACCUUACCCACCUUUGACAUGUACGGAAUCCUAUAGAGAUAGAGGAGUGCUCGAAAGAGAGCCGUAACACAGGUGCUGCAUGGCUGUCGUCAGCUCGUGUCGUGAAGAUGUUGGGUUAAGUCCACGCAACGAGCGCAACUCCUUGCCAUUAGUUGCUACUGAAAGGGCACUCUAAUGGGACUGCCGAGUGACAAACCGGAGGAAGGUGGGGAUGACGUCAUUGAGUCCUCAUGGCCCUUAUAGGUGGGGCUACACACGUCAUACAAUGGCUGGUACAAAGGGUUGCCAACCCGCGAGGGGGAGCUAAUCCCAUAAAGCCAGUCGUAGUCCGGAUCGCAGUCUGCAACUCGACUGCGUGAAGUCGGAAUCGCUAGUAAUCGUGGAUCAGAAUGUCACGGUGAAUACGUUCCCGGGUCUUGUACACACCGCAGGUCACACCAUGGGAGCGGGUCUCGCCAGAAGUAGGUAGCUUAACCGCAAGGAGGAGCGCUUACGACACGGCGGACUUCGUGACCUGGGGUGAAGUCGUAUACAAGUCAUUCGA